rnacentral:rRNA from 1 species
GACGAACGCUGGCGGCGUGCUUAACACAUGCAAGUCGAACGGAAAGGCCCUGCUUUUGUGGGGUGCUCGAGUGGCGAACGGGUGAGUAACACGUGAGUAACCUGCCCUUGACUUUGGGAUAACUUCAGGAAACUGGGGCUAAUACCGGAUAGGAGCUCCUGCUGCAUGGUGGGGGUUGGAAAGUUUCGGCGGUUGGGGAUGGACUCGCGGCUUAUCAGCUUGUUGGUGGGGUAGUGGCUUACCAAGGCUUUGACGGGUAGCCGGCCUGAGAGGGUGACCAGCCACAAUGGGACUGAGAUACGGCCCAGACUGCUACGGGAGGCAGCAGUGGGGAAUAUUGCACAAUGGGCGGAAGCCUGAUGCAGCAACGCCGCGUGCGGGAUGACGGCCUUCGGGUUGUAAACCGCUUUCGCCUGUGACGAAGCGUGAGUGACGGUAAUGGGUAAAGAAGCACCGGCUAACUACGUG